rnacentral:rRNA from 1 species
GUGUCAGCAGCCGCGGUAACACGGGGGGAGCAAGCGUUGUUCGGAAUCACUGGGCGUAAAGGGUGUCUAGGCGGUCAGGUAAGUGAGAUGUGAAAUGCCCCGGCUUACCCGGGGACCGGCAUCUCAUACUGUCUGGCUUGAGUAUGGGAGAGGAUGAGGGAAUUCCUGGUGUAGCGGUGAAAUGCGUAGAUAUCAGGAGGAACACCGGUGGCGAAAGCGCUCAUCUGGCCCAAUACUGACGCUGAAGCACGAAAGCUAGGGGAGCAAACGGGAUUAGAAACCCUGGUAGUCC